GCCGGAGUGGUGGAAUGGCAGACGCGGUGGACUCAAAAUCCAUUGGGGGCAACCCCGUGCGGGUUCAACUCCCGCCUCCGGCACCA
rnacentral:tRNA from 1 species